rnacentral:rRNA from 1 species
AGAGUGAACGCUGGCGGUAGGCCUAACACAUGCAAGUCGAACGGCAGCACAGUGGUAGCAAUACCAUGGGUGGCGAGUGGCGGACGGGUGAGGAAUACAUCGGAAUCUACCUUUUCGUGGGGGAUAACGUAGGGAAACUUACGCUAAUACCGCAUACGCCCUUCGGGGGAAAGCCGGGGAUCGCAAGACCUGGCGCGGAUAGAUGAGCCGAUGUCGGAUUAGCUAGUUGGUGAGGUAAUGGCUCACCAAGGCGACGAUCCGUAGCUGGUCUGAGAGGAUGAUCAGCCACACUGGAACUGAGACACGGUCAGACU